AUGAUGGACCGAAUGAAGGUGGUAUACGAAACCAGUAAGGCUGCCUAUGAUGCCAGCUCUGCUCUUCAAGUCAACGUCAAGAAAUCUUGUGAACUUGGGACCAAAUUUGCCGAUUUGGAGAAGAAGCGGAUUGAACUUAACCUCUAUCUGAAAUUGGCCAAGAAGAACUUGAAGAAAGCUCAAGACGAAGCUGCUGCCAAGGGAGAAGUGCUUAGUGAAAAUCGCCAACUCCAAGCUUGUUUGAAGAAUGUUAUUUCGCAGCCGCACAGAAGACGGCGCGGGAAAACACUAAACUUGCUGACAAAAAGUUGGCUUCAGUCGGCAAUUUAG
rnacentral:rRNA from 1 species